GACGAACGCUGGCGGCGUGCCUAACACAUGCAAGUCGAACGGAGUUGUGUCACGAAGUUCUUCGGAGCGGACGACAUAGCUUAGUGGCGGACGGGUGAGUAACGCGUGAGCAACCUGCCUUUCAGAGGGGGACAACGGUUGGAAACGACCGCUAAUACCGCAUGAUAUGACUGGACCGCAUGAUCCGGUCAUCAAAGAUUUUAUCGCUGAAAGAUGGGCUCGCGUCUGAUUAGAUAGUUGGUGGGGUAACGGCCCACCAAGUCGACGAUCAGUAGCCGGACUGAGAGGUUGAACGGCCACAUUGGGACUGAGAUACGGCCCAGACUCCUACGGGAGGCAGCAGUGGGGAAUAUUGGGCAAUGGGGGCAACCCUGACCCAGCAACGCCGCGUGAAGGAAGAAGGCUUUCGGGUUGUAAACUUCUUUUACCGAGGACGAAGAACGUGACGGUACUCGGAGAAAAAGCCACGGCUAACUACGUGCCAGCCGCCGCCGUAACAC
rnacentral:rRNA from 1 species